AAUGUUGCAUGUAAAUAAAUUAAUACAUGUAAGUAUAAAUUUUUUUCAAACGAAUAGCGAGCGACCAAGCAGUUAGGUUGGUCUGCAUUGGCCGCGACAGUCUGUAUGUUCUCAGUGCACUUUAAUCAUUAACUGGAUAAAUAUUGUCGCAAACUUUUCUUAGUAUUGAUUUUAUAUAAAUUAUGAUUGACAGUUAAAAAUUCGAUGUUGAUUGUAAACUUCAGUUUCUCAUUCGAUGGUGUUCGAGAUGCUUCGAUUUAUCGCCGGUUUACAAUACGGUACGAAUAUCAAUUAAAAAGAUGAAAUAUUUUAACAAUACAAAGUGAUGUUUCACUGUGAUGUGUAGUGAAUAAUAAAAAGAAAAUCCACGAAGAUUUAUAAUAGGGAAAUGAUAUUGGCAACGUAAAGAAAUAUUUCAGUUAGAAGCUAACCUACUGAAAUUUAAUAUUGAUACAUCUCGUUCAGAUUACAAAGUCCAAUUUCCCCUAUGUAUUACAAUAGAAUAUGUGCGGAAGAAACGUCUAAAAGGAGAUUCAGUUUAUCGUUGUAUAGCGAGAGAAUGUUGUAUGCGGCGCAAAGUAAUAGGAAUGUCAGCUCUAUAUUACAACGUGUCCAACGAAGCAUUGUGUUUGAAGGAAUGCGUUCUGACUGAGCCACGCUUUCUAAGUAUUUUCAAACUUCUUUUUUCACAUGUAUUUCCUCCAUCAUAUAAUCGGUUACGAAGUAUCAAUAAAUAGUUCAUUU